AUUGAACGCUGGCGGCAUGCCUUACACAUGCAAGUCGAACGGUAACGCGGGGCAACCUGGCGACGAGUGGCGAACGGGUGAGUAAUGCAUCGGAACGUGCCCAGUAGUGGGGGAUAGCCCGGCGAAAGCCGGAUUAAUACCGCAUACGACCUAAGGGUGAAAGGGGGGGAUCGCAAGACCUCUCGCUAUUGGAGCGGCCGAUGUCAGAUUAGGAAGUUGGUGGGGUAAAGGCCUACCAAGCCGACGAUCUGUAGCUGGUCUGAGAGGACGACCAGCCACACUGGGACUGAGACACGGCCCAGACUCCUACGGGAGGCAGCAGUGGGGAAUUUUGGACAAUGGACGCAAGUCUGAUCCAGCCAUGCCGCGUGCGGGAAGAAGGCCUUCGGGUUGUAAACCGCUUUUGUCAGGGAAGAAAUCUUCUGGGUUAAUACCUCGGGAGGAUGACGGUACCUGAAGAAUAAGCACCGGCUAACUACGUGCCAGCCGCCGCAGUAA
rnacentral:rRNA from 1 species